UCUCAUAAACACCUUGCCCCACCAGGACUAAUGGGCAAGUAAAAUCCGUCCUUCAUAUCUGCGAUGGAGGGUGUCGCAGAACAUAACUGUAACU
ncrna:unclassified sequences PhotoRC-II RNA